rnacentral:rRNA from 1 species
AUUGAACGCUGGCGGCAGGCCUAACACAUGCAAGUCGAACGAGUCGCGGACGGGUGAGUAAUGUCUGGGAAACUGCCCGAUGGAGGGGGAUAACUACUGGAAACGGUAGCUAAUACCGCAUACCAUCGUAUGUGCCCAGAUGGGAGUAGCUGGGAGGGGGGGUAACGGCUCACCUCGGCGACCAUCCCUAGCGGGUCUGAGAGGAUGACCAGCCACACGGGAACGGAGACACGGUCCAGACGCCUACGGGAGGCAGCAGUGGGGAAUAGUGGACAAGGGGCGCAAGCCUGAGGCAGCCAGGCCGAGUGUAUGGAGAAGGCCUUGGGGUUGUAAAGUACUUUCAGCGAGGAGGCGUUACUCGCAGAAGAAGCACCGGCUAACUCCGUGCCAGCAGCCGCGGUAAUAC